rnacentral:rRNA from 1 species
ACACUAUCAUUAACUGAAUCCAUAGGUUAAUGAGGCGAACCGGGGGAACUGAAACAUCUAAGUACCCCGAGGAAAAGAAAUCAACCGAGAUUCCCCCAGUAGCGGCGAGCGAACGGGGAGGAGCCCAGAGCCUGAAUCAGUGUGUGUGUUAGUGGAAGCGUCUGGAAAGGCGCGCGAUACAGGGUGACAGCCCCGUACACAAAAAUGCACAUGCUGUGAGCUCGAUGAGUAGGGCGGGACACGUGGUAUCCUGUCUGAAUAUGGGGGGACCAUCCUCCAAGGCUAAAUACUCCUGACUGACCGAUAGUGAACCAGUACCGUGAGGGAAAGGCGAAAAGAACCCCGGCGAGGGGAGUGAAAAAGAACCUGAAACCGUGUACGUACAAGCAGUGGGAGCCUCUUAAUGGGGUGACUGCGUACCUUUUGUAUAAUGGGUCAGCGACUUAUAUUCUGUAGCAAGGUUAACCGAAUAGGGGAGCCGAAGGGAAACCGAGUCUUAACUGGGCGUUAAGUUGCAGGGUAUAGACCCGAAACCCGGUGAUCUAGCCAUGGGCAGGUUGAAGGUUGGGUAACACUAACUGGAGGACCGAACCGACUAAUGUUGAAAAAUUAGCGGAUGACUUGUGGCUGGGGGUGAAAGGCCAAUCAAACCGGGAGAUAGCUGGUUCUCCCCGAAAGCUAUUUAGGUAGCGCCUCGUGAAUUCAUCUCCGGGGGUAGAGCACUGUUUCGGCAAGGGGGUCAUCCCGACUUACCAACCCGAUGCAAACUGCGAAUACCGGAGAAUGUUAUCACGGGAGACACACGGCGGGUGCUAACGUCCGUCGUGAAGAGGGAAACAACCCAGACCGCCAGCUAAGGUCCCAAAGUCAUGGUUAAGUGGGAAACGAUGUGGGAAGGCCCAGACAGCCAGGAUGUUGGCUUAGAAGCAGCCAUCAUUUAAAGAAAGCGUAAUAGCUCACUGGUCGAGUCGGCCUGCGCGGAAGAUGUAACGGGGCUAAACCAUGCACCGAAGCUGCGGCAGCGACACUAUGUGUUGUUGGGUAGGGGAGCGUUCUGUAAGCCUGUGAAGGUGGCCUGUGAGGGUUGCUGGAGGUAUCAGAAGUGCGAAUGCUGACAUAAGUAACGAUAAAGCGGGUGAAAAGCCCGCUCGCCGGAAGACCAAGGGUUCCUGUCCAACGUUAAUCGGGGCAGGGUGAGUCGACCCCUAAGGCGAGGCCGAAAGGCGUAGUCGAUGGGAAACAGGUUAAUAUUCCUGUACUUGGUGUUACUGCGAAGGGGGGACGGAGAAGGCUAUGUUGGCCGGGCGACGGUUGUCCCGGUUUAAGCGUGUAGGCUGGUUUUCCAGGCAAAUCCGGAAAACCAAGGCUGAGGCGUGAUGACGAGGCACUACGGUGCUGAAGUGACAAAUGCCCUGCUUCCAGGAAAAGCCUCUAAGCAUCAGGUAACAUCAAAUCGUACCCCAAACCGACACAGGUGGUCAGGUAGAGAAUACCAAGGCGCUUGAGAGAACUCGGGUGAAGGAACUAGGCAAAAUGGUGCCGUAACUUCGGGAGAAGGCACGCUGAUAUGUAGGUGAAGCGACUUGCUCGUGGAGCUGAAAUCAGUCGAAGAUACCAGCUGGCUGCAACUGUUUAUUAAAAACACAGCACUGUGCAAACACGAAAGUGGACGUAUACGGUGUGACGCCUGCCCGGUGCCGGAAGGUUAAUUGAUGGGGUUAGCGGUAACGCGAAGCUCUUGAUCGAAGCCCCGGUAAACGGCGGCCGUAACUAUAACGGUCCUAAGGUAGCGAAAUUCCUUGUCGGGUAAGUUCCGACCUGCACGAAUGGCGUAAUGAUGGCCAGGCUGUCUCCACCCGAGACUCAGUGAAAUUGAACUCGCUGUGAAGAUGCAGUGUACCCGCGGCAAGACGGAAAGACCCCGUGAACCUUUACUAUAGCUUGACACUGAACAUUGAGCCUUGAUGUGUAGGAUAGGUGGGAGGCUUUGAAGUGUGGACGCCAGUCUGCAUGGAGCCGACCUUGAAAUACCACCCUUUAAUGUUUGAUGUUCUAACGUUGGCCCCUAAUCGGGGUUGCGGACAGUGUCUGGUGGGUAGUUUGACUGGGGCGGUCUCCUCCUAAAGAGUAACGGAGGAGCACGAAGGUUGGCUAAUCCUGGUCGGACAUCAGGAGGUUAGUGCAAUGGCAUAAGCCAGCUUGACUGCGAGCGUGACGGCGCGAGCAGGUGCGAAAGCAGGUCAUAGUGAUCCGGUGGUUCUGAAUGGAAGGGCCAUCGCUCAACGGAUAAAAGGUACUCCGGGGAUAACAGGCUGAUACCGCCCAAGAGUUCAUAUCGACGGCGGUGUUUGGCACCUCGAUGUCGGCUCAUCACAUCCUGGGGCUGAAGUAGGUCCCAAGGGUAUGGCUGUUCGCCAUUUAAAGUGGUACGCGAGCUGGGUUUAGAACGUCGUGAGACAGUUCGGUCCCUAUCUGCCGUGGGCGCUGGAGAACUGAGGGGGGCUGCUCCUAGUACGAGAGGACCGGAGUGGACGCAUCACUGGUGUUCGGGUUGUCAUGCCAAUGGCACUGCCCGGUAGCUAAAUGCGGAAGAGAUAAGUGCUGAAAGCAUCUAAGCACGAAACUUGCCCCGAGAUGAGUUCUCCCUGAGACUUAGAGUCUCCUGAAGGAACGUUGAAGACGACGACGUUGAUAGGCCGGGUGUGUAAGCGCAGCGAUGCGUUGAGCUAACCGGUACUAAUGAACCGUGAGGCUUAACCUU